UACGUAGGGACCGAGCGUUGUCCGGAAUUAUUGGGCGUAAAGAGCGUGUAGGCGGCCCGAUUAGUCCGCUGUGAAAGUCCAGGGCUCAACCCUGGAAUGCCGGUGGAUACUGUCGGGCUAGAGUCCGGAAGGGGCGAGUGGAAUUCCUGGUGUAGCGGUGAAAUGCGCAGAUAUCAGGAGGAACACCAAUGGCGAAGGCAGCUCGCUGGGACGUGACUGACGCUGAGACGCGAAAGCGUGGGGAGCAAACAGG
rnacentral:rRNA from 1 species